rnacentral:rRNA from 1 species
AGUGGCGGACGGGUGAGUAACGCGUGAGAAUCUGCCUUGGGGUCGGGGACAACCACUGGAAACGGUGGCUAAUACCGGAUAAGCCGAUUGGUGAAAGAUUAUUGCCCGAAGAGGAGCUCGCGUCUGAUUAGCUAGUUGGUGAGGUAAGAGCUCACCAAGGCAGCGAUCAGUAGCUGGUCUGAGAGGACGAUCAGCCACACUGGGACUGAGACACGGCCCAGACUCCUACGGGAGGCAGCAGUGGGGAAUUUUCCGCAAUGGGCGAAAGCCUGACGGAGCAAGACCGCGUGAGGGAGGAAGGCUCUUGGGUUGUAAACCUCUUUUCUCAGGGAAGAAGCUCUGACGGUACCUGAGGAAUCAGCCUCGGCUAACUCCAUGCCAGCAGCCGCGGUAAUACGGAGGAGGCAAGCGUUAUCCGGAAUUAUUGGGCGUAAAGCGUCCGCAGGUGGCGAUUCAAGUCUGCUGUCAAAGCACGGGGCUUAACUCCGUAAAGGCAGUGGAAACUGAAUAGCUAGAGUGCCGUAGGGGUAGAGGGAAUUCCCGGUGUAGCGGUGAAAUGCGUAGAGAUCGGGAAGAACAUCGGUGGCGAAAGCGCUCUACUGGACGGCAACUGACACUCAGGGACGAAAGCUAGGGGAGCGAAUGGGAUUAGAUACCCC